rnacentral:lncRNA from 1 species
AAGCAGUGCUGAAAUCCAAGCACGUACCCAAAGCGUCCUGUAAGCUCCUCCAAAAAUGGGAUACAAAACGGGGGUCUCGAUCCGAUACUAUAGAAGUAGGUACCCCGUGCAAUCGCACAAUCUCAUCCAAAUAAACCUGUGCGAGUCUCUCACCAGUCCAAGUAGUGUGGAUAGGUAUGAAAUGUGCUGAUUUCGUCAGUCUAUCCACGAUCACCCAAAUAGCAUCAUGCCCGACCUGUGAGCGCGGCAAUCCCAUCACAAAAUCCAUGGUGAUCUUUUCCCACUUCCACACUGGAAUCGGUAGGCUCUGCAACUUUCCCGCAGGAACUCGACGCUCAGCCUUCACCUGUUGGCAAGUUAAACAUCUAACAAUGAACUCACCAACAUCCUUUUUCAUCCCGGGCCACCAAUAAAGUGGUUUCAAAUCCUUGUACAUCUUGGUGCCUCCCGGAUGUAUAGCAUACGGUACUCGGUGGGCUUCUUGAAGAAUAUCCUCUUUAAUGCCUAAGUCCGCCGGUACACAGUCGUGUCACGCCCCGGGAUCGGCGGAGGCCCUCCCGGUAGCGCGUCCAGACCCGCCAUAUGUCUACACAUAUAAGGCGUCUACAAUAAAAGCGGAAGUGAAAGCAAGGAAUACAACAACUAGGAAUGAAUAACAACUAAUGAUAUUAGAGCGAGUAAAAAUCUAUCUUCUAAACAAGAAUAAAGGAAACAUACUAAUCCAUAAAAGUAAAGCACAAGGUGAUACAAUACUAACUCCUCAAAAAAAAUACAUAAGUCCAAAAGGAGGGUGGUCUCUAUACAUAUACGGGUACAACUCUCAACCUCUCACAAAGUAAAACAACGAGAGGUAGACAACCAUCGAAUCGUCCUCGAAAGAAGCUAGCUCGAAGCAACUCCCUUCCCGCGGUCCCUAGCCUCUCCCGGCGUGGAAGGCUCUGAAAACAUCAAGAAAACANGAAAACAUAAAACAGAGGGCGUGAGAACUAUAAUUUAUAGUUCCCAGUGGGCAAUUACUGACCUCAGCUCUAUGCACCACUAGGCCCAAAAGAAAAGGGUAAGUAACGACAAAUAGUAAUAAGCGAUAAAUAGCGAGUAUAAAAACUGCUGAAAGGAAGCAUGAAUGAAAUGCUACACUACUAUGUCUCCAAUAAGCAUGAUGUCAUGGUGAUGUACAUCUACGCUAUCAUAAGGUAAUAUAUCCAAUGCAUACUAAUAUGCCUCAACAUAAUGAACAAGUAAACCUCACAAUACAAUAUGUCAAAACACAAAGAGUAAGCUCUAUCAAGAUAACCUAGUAUACUAUGGUGCAAUGCAUAAAACCGGCAAGUAUACUAUAUACCCCAAUGCUAUGUCAUGAGCAUGUCAAGUAAUCCAACUACCAAGCCUACCUAGUAGUGAUUAUUCAUCCUCAAUACUGUGUCGAUUUCCUUUUCCAAUCAAGGACCUACCAAAGGUAGUCCAGCUUGUGCCGCCUAAAUGCCUGUGGUAGCCCAACAUCCCUACUAUUGGAAUGUGUCUGUCCCACUCGACCCCGUAGGCUUCUCAAUACCGCACGAACGAACAUAGGUCGCAUAGGCUAACUCCGGAGUGCCGGCUUGUAGGGAGCGACCCUCACAAGCAUGUGCGAAUGAGCACAAAUGGCAAGCAAGCAUAGUCCAAGUCUCAAGUAUCCAGUCCUCAUGUCUCUAACAUGGUAUAGCCACUAGCAUCUCGAAGAUCUAGUUCUAAGUCAUAAAAGGAAGUUCCAACAUUCUCUAGGUCUAGUGUCCCUUUAUGACACAUAGACAUUUAAUGUUUAAGCAUGUUUCACGUUCCUCAAUGGCCUUAUCUACUAAGUUCACACAUGUCCCGAGCUCAAUGCCGCUUGAUGACAUUAGCUCUCUAGUUCACAUACCUUCUAGUUCAACACCUCUAAAUGGCAAUUUUGUCAUCUUUCAUGUCUCAAAUAUACUUAAGUUUAAAUGCAUGAAUCAAAGCUCAUUUACACUAUAGAAGCAUGAAGCCAAAUCUCAUAUAGAAUGCUAGAUGCAAUCAUAGAUCUCUCAAGCAACUCUCUCUACUACAUAGGAGUCCAAAAUUGCACUAUAAGUAACAUAGGCAUUUUAAGCAUUCUAAAAUUCACAAUAAAUACAUAUAACAAGAAUAUGCAUACUUUUUCGAUUAAUGAUACUUAAUUCAUCACAAAUGAGAAUUUCUCAUUGUGUGGCUAGGUCAAACCCACCGAACCGUCGCGUAGUGCCUUAUUUCGCCGAACAAAGUUGUCCCCGACUCUCAAAAUACCCUAAAAGUAUUGAGCGAAAAGAUACACGGGCAUUACGAUUAUCUUAUAAGAUCAAACAUUAACCUAGACGCAAAAAGGGCCAAAACUCACCUCAAGAGUAAAAAUCCUCUCUUAAGCUCCAAAGGAGGGCUAGAACCCUUCCAAUCUAUCCUAGAGGAAGGUUCUAAUCCAAUCAAUCAAGCUCCAAAAGCCCUAAAAUCAAAAUGCCCAAAAUAAGCCCUAAAUCUGGAUUUCAUCUUGAAUCCAUCAAUAAAAUCCAUAUUUAGAGGGAGAGUACAAGUAAAUUACCUCUUAGAAGCUUCAAUCCAAGCUCUAAACUCUCCAAGUCCAAGGAUCUCCCCUCAACAAAGCUCCAAAACCAAGCUCCAAGCUUCAUCCAUGGAGGGAAAUGCACCAAGAGGGAAAAAGAGAGAUUAAACCUUUAAUCCCAAACCAAAAUGAGAUCAAAAUCAAAGAGAAGCAUGGAGGAGCUCCCUUUACCUUCUCCCUGUUGUGGCAAGCUCAAAGAGCAGCCCUAGAGUCGUGGGUAGUAAUAUAAGAAGGCAACAAUGCAAAAACACCCUUGCAGAAUCAAACAUUCAGAUUCUGUCACUGCAUACCGGUACACGGGCCCGUGUACCGGUACACCUCCCACGAAAAUGCCAAACCCGAGCCUCGGGUUGGCUGGAAAGCCGCCUGUGUACCAGUACACCAUCCCGUACCGGUACAACCAUCAACCCUGUACCGAUACAGCCAUCAAUCCUGUACCGGUACACGGCCCAAUGAAGGCUACCCGAGAGCUAACCAAAAAUUCGAUUUUUCGGGUUUCGGUGCUAGGCUUCUAACCUCAAUCCUCGGGACUCGAACCACAGGUCGGAACACUGUCUACGAACGUCUACAAAGUGUGAAAAGGCUCGGAACACAACAAAUCACUCGAACCUCGCAGUUUGCAAAGGUCCAGUGCGUUACAUUCACCCCUCCUUAAAAGGAGUUUCGUCCGCGAAACUCGAAAUGACAAGUACCUGAAGCCUCUAUCUGAAAAAGAUGAGGAUAGCGCUCCCGCAGCGCGCUCUGCAACUCCCAAGUGGCCUCGCGCUCGUCAUGGUUGCUCCAAAGCACCUUCACGUAGGGAAUUUCCCUGUUCCGCAAUCUUUUCACCUCGCGAGCCAAAAUCCUCAAAGGUUGCUCCUCAAAGCUCAAGUCAUCCCGCAGCUCCAAAGGUGUAGUAUCCAACACGUGAGCCGGGUCGUGGAUGUACUUCCGAAGGACCGAUACAUGGAACACAUUAUGUACACCCGAUAAGUUUGGCGGCAGAGCGAGUCGAUACGCUACCGGGCCUACACGCUCCAAAACCUCAAACGGUCCAAUUAAUCGGGGGCUCAACUUGCCCCGGAUUCCAAAUCGCCUAAUCCCUCGAGUCGGCGAGACUUUCAAGAAGACGUGAUCUCCAAUAUGAAACUCCAAGUCUCGUCGCCGCCUGUCAGCAAAGCUCCUCUACCUACUCUGGGCUGUCAACAGUCGCUCCCAAGCAAUGCGAACCUUGUCCUCUGCUUUCUGGAGCACGUCUGGGCCUAAAGCCAAUCUCUCGCCAACUUCACUCCAAUGAAGUGGCGAUCUACACUUCCGUCCAUAGAGUGCCUCGAACGGUGCCAUCUUGAUGCUUGCUUGAUAACUGUUGCUAUAAGCAAACUCUACCAUCUUUAGAUGCUGCGACCAUCCUCCCUGGAAGUCAAUCACGCAAGCUCGAAGCAUGUCCUCGAGAGUCUGUAUAGUACGCUCCGACUGCCCGUCACUCUGGGGUGAAAAGCUGUACUGAAGUCCAAGCGCCUACCCAGAGCAUCCUGUAAGCUCCUCCAAAAGUGGGAUACAAAACGGGGGUCUCGAUCUGAUACUAUGAAAGUAGGUACCCCGUGUAAUCGCACAAUCUCAUCCAAAUAAACCUGUGCGAGUCUCUCACCAGUCCAAGUAGUGUGGAUAGGUAUGAAAUGUGCCGAUUUCGUCAAUCUAUCCACAAUCACCCAAAUAGCGUCAUGCCCGGCCUGUGAGCGAGGCAAU